rnacentral:lncRNA from 1 species
AUGCAAACAAAUACUUGUUCUAGGGUCAGAUUUGGUUGUGGCUUGUGUCGGCUUCUUUGAAUGAGAAGAGGUUGAUGUUGAAUGAAUGAAUUAAGUCAGAAGAUUCUGGGAGGAUUGCAGAGGCUAGGACACUAAAUCAGUAGACAAUGAUUUACAAUAUUCAGCUAGUAUUAAGUACCUUAUAAGGGAUUGCUUCUGAUGUGGCAGGGUUGAGUGCACCAUAUGAGAAGGCUUCUCAUGUAGAUGAAAGGCCAGACGUG